rnacentral:misc_RNA from 1 species
UUGUUUAAUUUAACUUGUUCUCAGACUUCAAUUUUCUAAGCAGGGUUGGCUAAUUCCGGCAGGCGGGGCCCUCCGCGAACAGAGGGGGCUCCCCGCCAGGCGCCGAAUCCGGGCCGCAGUUACAAAGGGUGGGGAUUGUGCCCGAAGGCGUUAAACCCAUUAAUGAUCCUUCCGCAGGUUCACCUACGGAAA